UACGUAGGGUGCGAGCGUUGUCCGGAAUUACUGGGCGUAAAGAGCUUGUAGGUGGUUUGUCGCGUUGUUCGUGAAAACUCACAACUCAAUUGUGGGCGUGCGGGCGAUACGGGCAGACUGGAGUACUGCAGGGGAGACUGGAAUUCCUGGUGUAGCGGUGGAAUGCGCAGAUAUCAGGAGGAACACCGGUGGCGAAGGCGGGUCUCUGGGCAGUAACUGACGCUGAGGAGCGAAAGCGUGGGGAGCAAACAGG
rnacentral:rRNA from 1 species